AUGAGGAAGAGAAGCACUAAUGCAUCGGAUUCUAUCAGAAACUCCGCAAUUAAGCAUGCUUGAGAGAGAAUAGUACUAAGAUGAGUGACCUCUUAGGUAGCCCUCAUGUUGUACACC
rfam:Cephalotus follicularis DNA, scaffold: scaffold616, isolate: St1.